GUGAUAUAAAUAUUCGUAAAAUCGCGCGCUAUGUCACGUUGGAAAAAGUACUUUUGCUAAAUUCCAAGUGAUAUGAGCAUAACAAAAAAAAAGUGAAUUGAAGCGAAAACUGCCUCAGAGAGGAUAAAUAAAACUGCAACUCAAUAGAAUGAACAAAUGAACCACCAUUAGUCACAGUGUUCAUCCAAACUAUUUACAUUGCAACUAAACACGACGAAGGCAGCAUUUCGCAAGUGUCUGAUUGCUUAUUAAGAAGCUGGUCUGGUGGAUUACCAUACAUAGCAAUGUACAACAACGGUGAAGGAGCUCAAACAAUGGAACCAUAUUCGUACCACCUAGUAGUGAGACAACUUUUUCAUCCAAGUGUAGAAAACCAUAUGGCGUUCCCCAAAAACUUCCCCCACACCGAUGAAGACCCCGGGGAAUCGUUAGGAUCACUAGAACACUUGCACCUCGAUUCCGUAGGACCCUCUGAACCAAAAACCCAUCAUCCAGAAUCGCCCGCUACCACCGUACCCAAAUUUGACUGCAAACAAUGUGGUCAGACAUUCGAUAGCGUAGUCGGUUUGUUCGCGCACAAAAAACACAGUCAACACAGUCCUCCAGCGGGGCCUUCGUGCGCCAUAUGUAGCAAAAAAUUCGAUACGGGAUACGAAUUGACGGAACAUAAAGAAGAACAUCGUCAGUACAAGUGUGGCCAAUGUUCUCAAUCAUAUCUUUAUAAAUCAAGUCUUUAUGCUCACAUUAGGAAGAAGCAUAGCUGAAGUUGGGUUAAAAAAUAAUCGGGUUUGCUCACCGAGGUUAAUUUCUGUUACUUGGGCAAUCACAUUACCAUUAACAUCACAUUGAAACGCACUGUUCAGUAAAUGCAUAUUUUUCGAAAACAAAAAUUGCUUAUCUUUCAUAAUCUUACAGGUUAUGAAUUACUGUUCUUUCAAGCAAAAAAAAUCCCAACCAAUACGAAAUAAAUUGAAUUGAAUUAAAUUGAAUACUAACAACUUUUAUAUCUCAAAAAACUCCCUUUUGAUAUUUUUUUGUAUAUUUCCAUUAGAAAACCAUUUCAAUUGACCAUAUUUUGACGCCCAGUGAUGCCGUGGCAAACUCACCAAAAUGGAGAUUUGAAUUAUUGGAAAUUCAUGAAAUUUCAAUACUUUGGAAAUCGUGAUCAUGUAAG